rnacentral:rRNA from 1 species
CUUAAGCAUAUCAAUAAGCGGAGGAAAAGAAACCAACAGGGAUUACCUCAGUAACGGCGAGUGAAGCGGUAACAGCUCAAAUUUGAAAUCUGGCCUCACGGUCCGAGUUGUAAUUUGUAGAGGAUGUUUCGAGCAUGGUCUGGCCUAAGUUUCCUUGGAACAGGACGUCAUAGAGGGUGAGAAUCCCGUAUGCGGUCAGGUGCCUACGCUCAUGUGAAACUCCUUCGACGAGUCGAGUUGUUUGGGAAUGCAGCUCAAAAUGGGUGGUAAAUUUCAUCUAAAGCUAAAUAUUGGCCAGAGACCGAUAGCGCACAAGUAGAGUGAUCGAAAGAUGAAAAGCACUUUGGAAAGAGAGUUAAACAGUACGUGAAAUUGUUGAAAGGGAAGCGCUUGCAACCAGACUUGCGCGCGGCUGAUCAUCCGGUGUUCUCACUGGUGCACUCGGUCGCGCUCAGGCCAGCAUCGGUUUUGGUGGUUGGAUAAAGGCCUUAGGAAUGUAGCUCCUCUCGGGGAGUGUUAUAGCCUAGGGUGCAAUGCAGCCUACCGGGACCGAGGACCGCGCUUCGGCUAGGAUGCUGGCGUAAUGGUUGUAAGCGGCCCGUCUUGAAACACGGACCAAGGAGUCUAACAUCUAUGCGAGUGUUUGGGUGUCAAACCCAUACGCGUAAUGAAAGUGAACGGAGGUGAGAACCCUUAAGGGUGCAUCAUCGACCGAUCCUGAUGUCUUCGGAUGGAUUUGAGUAAGAGCAUAGCUGUUGGGACCCGAAAGAUGGUGAACUAUGCCUGAAUAGGGUGAAGCCAGAGGAAACUCUGGUGGAGGCUCGCAGCGGUUCUGACGUGCAAAUCGAUCGUCAAAUUUGGGUAUAGGGGCGAAAGACUAAUCGAACCAUCUAGUAG